UACGGAAGGGGCGAGCGUUGUUCGGAAUCAUUGGGCGUAAAGGGCGCGUAGGUGGUUCUGUAUGUCUACCGUGAAAGCCCACGGCUCAACCGUGGAGGGUCAUUGGAAACUGGGGGACUUGAGUGCAGAAGAGGAAAGUGGAAUUCCACGUGUAGCGGUGAAAUGCGUAGAGAUGUGGAGGAACACCAGUGGCGAAGGCGACUUUCUGGUCUGUAACUGACGCUGAGGCGCGAAAGCGUGGGGAGCAAACAGG
rnacentral:rRNA from 1 species